rnacentral:lncRNA from 1 species
GAGGGGAGAGGAUCGAAAAGGUUAAGAAGAGGAGAAAGACUUUAAUUUGUUAAGACGCAACGUUCUUCCCUAUUUACAGCAAAACAUAUUUUUAAUGGCAACGAAUCGUGUUGCUAAGAAAUCCGAGAUCAAAUAUACCAGAGUUUGGUGGGGAGUGAAUACCUACCCAUAAGUCGAAUAGACUGCUUGAGAUGCUCGACUUUUCUUGAUAUUUAGAACAAAUCGCCGGUACCUGCCAUUUGUUUUCUCCGUCGCCGGCUCU